UCUCCACAAGUCUUUAUUUUUCAAAGUUUAAAGUUUUAAAAAGUGAUCAUCAAUUCUCAUUUGAAAUGGACCGCCGAUCGCCGGAAAUGAAAAAGUUUUCUUUGUGGUGGGGCUUGCGUUCAAGGUUGGAAAAGGCGUAAUAACCGGAGUUACAAACGAAGGUACUUAUAAUAAUCAAUUUAAUUUUGAUGAUUCAAAUUUGUAACUUUUUAGCGGUUAAUUAUGUUAAAGAAUUAGCCAAAAUUCCCAGCGAUGUAAGGGCAAAGAAUGAGGCGCAAGAAUUCGUUAAUGAAACUGUUGUUGAAUUUUAAAUGAUCAAUAAAAAGGUUAAUUUACA